GGCCUUUUAGCUCAAUGGUUAUAGCGUCUGUCCGGUUAUCAGAAGGUUACGUGGUUCAAUUCCCGUUAGAGCUCA